rnacentral:rRNA from 1 species
AACGAACGCUGGCGGCAUGCCUAACACAUGCAAGUCGAACGAGACCUUCGGGUCUAGUGGCGCACGGGUGCGUAACGCGUGGGAACCUGCCCUUAGGUUCGGAAUAACUCCCCGAAAGGGGUGCUAAUACCGGAUAAUGUCUUCGGACCAAAGAUUUAUCGCCUUUGGAUGGGCCCGCGUUGGAUUAGCUAGUUGGUAGGGUAAAAGCCUACCAAGGCGACGAUCCAUAGCUGGUCUGAGAGGAUGAUCAGCCACACUGGGACUGAGACACGGCCCAGACUCCUACGGGAGGCAGCAGUGGGGAAUAUUGGACAAUGGGCGAAAGCCUGAUCCAGCAAUGCCGCGCGAGUGAUGAAGGCCUUAGGGUUGUAAAGCUCUUUUACCCGGGAUGAUAAUGACAGUACCGGGAGAAUAAGCUCCGGCUAACUCCAUG